UGCCUACGGGGGGCUGCAGUGGGGAAUAUUGGACAAUGGGCGCAAGCCUGAUCCAGCCAUGCCGCGUGAGUGAUGAAGGCCUUAGGGUUGUAAAGCUCUUUCGACGGGGACGAUGAUGACGGUACCCGUAGAAGAAGCCCCGGCUAACUUCGUGCCAGCAGCCGCGGUAAUACGAAGGGGGCUAGCGUUGUUCGGAAUUACUGGGCGUAAAGCGCACGCAGGCGGUCUGAUCAGUCAGAAGUGAAAGCCCCGGGAUGAACCUGGGACCUGCUUUUGAUACUGUCAGGCUGGAAUCACGGAGAGGGUAGUGGAAUUCCGAGUGUAGAGGUGAAAUUCGUAGAUAUUCGGAAGAACACCAGUGGCGAAGGCGACUACCUGGCCGUCGAUUGACGCUCAUGUGCGAAAGCGUGGGGAGCAAACAGGAUUAGAUACCCCAGUAGUCCUC
rnacentral:rRNA from 1 species